ACACGGACAGCUCAGUUGGUAGAGCAUGAGACUCUGAAUCUCAAGGUUGUGGGUUCAAUCCCCACGUUGGGCA